rnacentral:lncRNA from 1 species
AUGACUGGCUAUAAGCUCUUCAGAAGGGACAGGCAGCACAGAAGGGGCGAUGGUGUGGCUCUCUGUAUUACAGAAUCUUUUGAUGUUCUAGAACUCGAGACUGGGAAUGACAAGGUCGAGUCCCUUUGGGUUAGGAUCGGCAGGGACAACAAGCCUAGUGUCCUGGUCGGGGUCUGCUAUAGACCGCCAAACCAGGAUGAGGAGACAGAUGAGGAGUUCUACAGGCAGCUGACAGAAGUUGCGAAAUCUUCAGCGCUUGUACUUGUGGGGGUCUUCAACUUCCCUGACAUAUCCUGGAAGCACAACACAGCCCAGAGGAAGCAGUCUAGGAGGUUUCUGGAGAGCGUGGAAGAUAGCUUCCUGACGCAGCUGGUUAGUGAACCUACCAGGGGUGGUGCCCCACUAGACCUUCUCUUCACAAACAGAGAAGGACUGGUGGAGGAUGUGAUUGUCAGGAGCUGUCUUGGGCAGAGAGACCAUGAAAUGGUGGAGUUCACUAUUUUUGGCGAGGCCAGGAAGGGGACCAGUAAAACCGCUGUAUUGGACUUUUGGAGGGCUGACUUUGGGCUGCUCAGGACACUGGUUGGUGGAGUCCCUUGGGAGGAGGUUCUGAAGGGCAGAGGGGUCCAGAAAAGCUGGGCGCUCUUCAAGGGGGAAAUCUUAAUGGCGCAGGAACAGUCUGUCCCCUCGUGCCCAAAGGCGAGCUGGCGGGGAAGAAGACCAGCCUGGCUCAACAGAGAAUUGUGGCUUGAUCUUAGGAGAAAAAAGAGAGUUUAUAAUCUUUGGAAAAGUGGGCAGGCCACUAGGGAGGACUAUAAGGAUGUAGCGAGGCUGUGCAGGGACAAAAUUAGGAAGGCCAAAGCUCAUCUGGAGCUCAAUCUGGCUACUGCCAUUAAAGAUAACAAAAAAUGUUUUUAUAAAUACAUCAACACAAAAAGGAGGACUAAGGAGAAUCUCCAUCCUUUACUGGAUGUGGGGGUAAACUUAGCUACAAGAGAUAAGGAAAAGGUGGAGGUGCUUAAUGCCUUCUUCGCCUCAGUCUUUAGCGGCAAUACCGGUUGUUCUCUGGAUACGCAGUACCCUGAGGUGGUGGAAGGGGAUGGGGAGCAGGAUGUGGCCCUCACCAUCCACGAGGAAAUAGUUGGUGACCUGCUACGGCACUUGGAUGUCCACAAAUCGAUGGGGCCGGAUGGGAUCCACCCAAGGGUACUGAGAGAACUGGCAGAGGAGCUGGCCAAGCGCCUAUCCAUCAUUUAUCAGCAGUCCUGGCUAUCGGGGGAGGUCCCAGCUGACUGGCGACUAGCAAAUGUGACGCCCAUCUACAAGAAGGGCCGGAGGGCAGACCCGGGGAACUACAGGCCGGUCAGUUUGACCUCAGUACCAGGGAAGCUCAUGGAGCAGAUCCUCUUGGGAGUCAUCAUGCGGCACUUGAAGGGCAAGCAGGCGAUCAGGCCCAGUCAGCAUGGGUUUAUGGAAGGCAGGUCCUGCUUGACGAACCUGAUCUCCUUCUACGACAAAGUGACGCGUUGGGUGGACGAGGNNNNNNNNNNGAAAGGCUGUGGAUGUGGUCUACCUUGA